UGGGGAAUAUUGCACAAUGGGCGCAAGCCUGAUGCAGCCAUGCCGCGUGUAUGAAGAAGGCCUUCGGGUUGUAAAGUACUUUCAGCGAGGAGGAAGGCGGUAAGGUUAAUAACCUUAUCGAUUGACGUUACUCGCAGAAGAAGCACCGGCUAACUCCGUGCCAGCAGCCGCGGUAAUACGGAGGGUGCAAGCGUUAAUCGGAAUUACUGGGCGUAAAGCGCACGCAGGCGGUCUGUCAAGUCGGAUGUGAAAUCCCCGGGCUCAACCUGGGAACUGCAUUCGAAACUGGCAGGCUAGAGUCUUGUAGAGGGGGGUAGAAUUCCAGGUGUAGCGAUGAAAUGCGUAGAGAUCUGGAGGAAUACCGGUGGCGAAGGCGGCCCCCUGGACAAAGACUGACGCUCAGGUGCGAAAGCGUGGGGAGCAAACA
rnacentral:rRNA from 1 species